rnacentral:rRNA from 1 species
CGCAUCUGUGCAUGCAGCAUAUCAAUAAGCGGAGGAAAAGAAACUAACAAGGAUUCCCCUAGUAACGGCGAGUGAAGCGGGAAGAGCUCAAAUUUGAAAUCUUAAAGGGUUUCCCUUUACGAAUUGUAGUUUAAAGAAGUGUUUUCUGUUGAGGUUUUGGUAAAAGUUCUUUGGAAUAGGACAUCAUAGAGGGUGAGAAUCCCGUAUUUGACCUUUACUUUCAACUUUGUGAUACACUUUCAAAGAGUCGGAUUGUUUGGGAAUGCAGUCCAAAAUGGGUGGUAAAUUUCAUCUAAAGCUAAAUAUUGGCGAGAGACCGAUAGCGAACAAGUACCGUGAGGGAAAGAUGAAAAGAACUUUGAAAAGAGAGUUAAACAGUACGUGAAAUUGUCAAGAGGGAAGCGUUUGACACCAGUGUUGUUUUUCUGAAAAUCAAUUAAAGAACUGUUUAUGCUAAGUUGUUUAGACUUUAUCAGCUACUGUUUAGUUUUAGGCUUUUCUUUAAUGCACUUUUCAGUUAACAAGUCAACAUCAAUUUCUUUUGCUGUAAAAAAGCUUGAGGAAGGUGGCUUGAGAUUCGUCUUAAGUGUUUAUAGCCUCUUGCCUAUGCAGUCGGAGAGAUUGAGGUCUGCAGCGUAGAUCCUUCGGGGCUAAAUGCAUUUGUGCUAAGUUAUAGCAUUUUAUAGACAACUUGUUGACUAUGAUUUGUCUCGUAGCUUACUCGCUUAUGUUAUUUUACCUACGCUUAGGAUGUUGAACGCGCACAGAGCUC